rnacentral:rRNA from 1 species
UGGGGAAUAUUGGACAAUGGGCGAAAGCCUGAUCCAGCAAUACCGAGUGAGUGAUGAAGGCCCUAGGGUUGUAAAGCUCUUUUAGCAAGGAAGAUAAUGACGUUACUUGCAGAAAAAGCCCCGGCUAACUCCGUGCCAGCAGCCGCGGUAAGACGGAGGGGGCUAGCGUUGUUCGGAAUUACUGGGCGUAAAGAGUGCGUAGGCGGUUUAGUAAGUUGGAAGUGAAAGCCCGGGGCUUAACCUCGGAAUUGCUUUCAAAACUACUAAGCUAGAGUGUAGUAGGGGAUGAUGGAAUUCCUAGUGUAGAGGUGAAAUUCUUAGAUAUUAGGAGGAACACCGGUGGCGAAGGCGGUCAUCUGGGCUACAACUGACGCUGAUGCACGAAAGCGUGGGGAGCAAACA